rnacentral:lncRNA from 1 species
AAAAACUUAUGUUAUAAGGACUUCUUGCAGCAUAAUAAAGAGAUAUGGAUAGGAAAUCUGGGGGCGAGUCCUCCAAAUAGUGGCUUCUGAGAGUGCUACCACUCUCUUAGUCAAACAAUAGGCAGAAGCUAUGUUUGAUUCUUGAUGUGCAUGUAAAAUCUCCCACUUUUUCAUGUUGAAGAUAGCAUGUGUGGCAAUUGAUGGUCAGAGUGUGUAGGCUCCAUGGGGUUUAGGAAUGGCCUUGAGUAGACUCCACCAAGACAUUGGGAAUCGCUUUCAAUGAGCAAUGAGUAGCACUGUCUCUUGAGUGGAUCAUUAUGUUCUCUUUGAUUUUUUCUUAUUUCCUUCAAGUGAUUCAAUAAAAUUGAGUAGUUCAGAGCAUUCUCUGAGUGGAACAUUAUGUUCUCUUUGAUUUUUUCUUAUUUUUCUCUAGUGAUCCAAUAAAAUUUAGUAGUUCAGAGCAUUACCAUGGUUCACUUAUUUUUCUAUCAUAUUAUUUAUUUUCUUGGUAUUGCAGUAUGUUGUAUUUUUUAAUUCCAUUCAGUUGAAUAACUUUCCUGAGUUUGACUUGAUUCCUGGAAAUCGGGCUUGGGCUUUAUUGGUUAGCUGUUGGCUAUUGCAGCACAACGUCCCAAUAUUAAUUCUUACUGCUACAACUACCCAAAAGGACUUCAGUCUUACUGGUUUAUAAGGAGGGAAAAAAAAUUGAAAUUUGACCAUAGGUGGGAACCCCAUUUCCUUGAAAUAUGAUUUGGAUUCUAAUAUUUUUCUGAUUAUCCAUUUGUUUCACCUAAUUUUCCAUGUUUUCCCUACAUUUAUUGAUGCCACUUCCCUCUAAGUCGCUUAGAAGUUUCAACUUCUUUGCUCCUUUGCUCAACCAUUAUCAGGAAUAACUCUGCAUAUGAGCA